rnacentral:rRNA from 1 species
AUAUCAAUAAGCGGAGGAAAAGAAACCAACAGGGAUUGCCCUAGUAACGGCGAGUGAAGCGGCAACAGCUCAAAUUUGAAAUCUGGCUCUUUUAGAGUCCGAGUUGUAAUUUGCAGAGGGCGCUUUGGCUUUGGCAGCGGUCCAAGUUCCUUGGAACAGGACGUCACAGAGGGUGAGAAUCCCGUACGUGGUCGCUGGCUAUUGCCGUGUAAAGCCCCUUCGACGAGUCGAGUUGUUUGGGAAUGCAGCUCUAAAUGGGAGGUACAUUUCUUCUAAAGCUAAAUAUUGGCCAGAGACCGAUAGCGCACAAGUAGAGUGAUCGAAAGAUGAAAAGCACUUUGGAAAGAGAGUCAAACAGCACGUGAAAUUGUUGAAAGGGAAGCGCUUGCAGCCAGACUUGCUUGCAGUUGCUCAUCCGGGUUUUUACCCGGUGCACUCUUCUGUAGGCAGGCCAGCAUCAGUUUGGGCGGUAGGAUAAAGGUCUCUGUCACGUACCUCCUUUCGGGGAGGCCUUAUAGGGGAGACGACAUACUACCAGCCUGGACUGAGGUCCGCGCAUCUGCUAGGAUGCUGGCGUAAUGGCUGUAAGCGGCCCGUCUUGAAACACGGACCAAGGAGUCUAACAUCUAUGCGAGUUUGGGG